rnacentral:rRNA from 1 species
UACGUAGGGUGCAAGCGUUGCCCGGAUUUAUUGGGCGUAAAGAGCUCGUAGGCGGUCUGUCGCGUCGAAUGUGAAAACCCGGGACUCAACUCCGGGCCUGCAUUCGAUACGGGCAGACUAGAGUUCGGUAGGGGAGACUGGAAUUCCUGGUGUAGCGGUGAAAUGCGCAGAUAUCAGGAGGAACACCGGUGGCGAAGGCGGGUCUCUGGGCCGAUACUGACGCUGAGGAGCGAAAGCGUGGGGAGCAAACAGG